ACUUGCUGAUCCUACAUGAAUACGGUAGCAAGUUCAUGUUCUUUGCUUGAUAAUUUAUUCUUUUUUGACCAAUUCAUUUCCGCAAACCCCUUACCUGUAAGCACCAACUAGUAUCCUUAUUGUCAAGAAUUAAUUUUAUCAACGACUUAUAAGUUUGGUAUGCAUAUUUCUUAUGAUGUUGAACCUUGACUUUGAGACACAUGAUGGCUUUGUUUUAUUUUUUUUGUUGAAUUUUCUAUCCUGUAAGUUUCAACUCCACUAGUAUCAUGUUUCCAUAGAUGAUGCUGUCUUAGAUGUUGGAGUCGUGACUCAUUCUUUAUACUGAUGUUUCUGUGUGGAAUUUUCCCAGUUGUCCUGUUCAUUGUUUGAUGUUUCUGUGUGUGUUGUAGCUGAAUUUGGUUGUAGCUUCUGCAAGCUUUCUUCACUUUCUUCCCUCCACUAUCUGUUAACAAGUUUGAUCUUUACAAUUCAGUUAUAAGAACAAACAAUAUGACCAAAGGUUGACAGCUUUGCUUCAUCCUUUUUACAUUUCAGUAUGUGGAUGAAAGCAAAUAUGUACUGAUGUACCUAAAUGGAUUUACAAAAAUAUCUUUGAAAUGUUUUGUCAUACAGAUAUGACAUCUAGUAUAAUUUUUUCCAACUUGAUUGUUGCAUUAUCAUAUAAUGAGAUUAGGUGCACAGCUUGCAGUCAGUUUAUUGUUUUUGCUAAAGAUCAUUGCUAGUAGGCCGACAAAAGACAGGUCUAAAAUGAAGCCUAAGAAAACAUGCUUAAGAUGAUAUUUUAAGAUUUUCUAAACAUUGGAUCGUUGCGGAAGGUUGUGAUUGGCACGGCAAGUGUUCUAAAAUGAAGCCAAAGAAAAUGGGGGAGAAAAUAAGGUUCGGCUUGAGGAAUUUAUGCAAUAAAGCAGUUUUAUAUUUGAUUCCUUCUUUAAUUAUAUUGCGUGUGUUCCUAAGCUGCAACCUAUUAAUAAUUUUAGUUUUAUAAUGUUCUUUGCCACUACCUUUCUAUUAUUCAUUCUUUUGCUUUGCAGGUUGUGACAAAAAUUGAUUGGCAUCGGAAAGGAGACUAUUUCACUACUGUCGUUCCUAGUGAUAUCCUAAUUAUGAAUUUUAGUUGUACUUAUUUUUAGUCAUUCCUAGUGCCUAUUUUAUUCCUAGUCACCUUAUUUCAAUGACAAGAACAAGGGUUCUCAUGGCCAAUAUGUGUCUAUUAAUGGGAUUUUCAAUGUCUUGCUUACCACGCUAAUCCUACUUCUGAUUGGAUUUGCAGCUUCAAGAUAUCAAACUCUACACCUUCUAUAUGGAGCUAGAUUUGCAAAAGCCAUAUCCAACUCGAGGAAGUGACUUAUUGACAUGGGAGAGAACUUAUUGGUAACCAAGGACUUUGUGAAGAUAGCAAAUUUUGGCCUUGCUCGUGAAGUUCAUUCGAAGCCACCAUUCACAGAAUAGGUUUCAACACGCUGUUUACAAAUCUCAAGUACUCCAGAGUUGAAAUUGAUGAAGUGCAGUUCGAGUGGGCUG